GGCGCACGGGUGCGUAACGCGUAUGUAACUUGCCCACUACAGGGGGAUAGCCCGGGGAAACCCGGAUUAAUACCGCAUAAUACCAUAGAGCUGCAUGGCUUGAUGGUUAAAGAUUUAUCGGUAGUGGAUGGACAUGCGUCUGAUUAGCUAGUUGGUAGUGUAAUGGACUACCAAGGCCACGAUCAGUAGGGGGUCUGAGAGGAUGAUCCCCCACACUGGUACUGAGAUACGGACCAGACUCCUACGGGAGGCAGCAGUAGGGAAUAUUGGGCAAUGGGUGAGAGCCUGACCCAGCCAUGCCGCGUGCAGGAAGACGGCCCUAUGGGUUGUAAACUGCUUUUGUAAGGGAAGAAAAAGAUCUUGCGAGAUUCAUUGACGGUACCUUACGAAUAAGCACCGGCUAACUCCGUGCCAGCAGCCGCGGUAAUACGGAGGGUGCAAGCGUUGUCCGGAUUUAUUGGGUUUAAAGGGUACGUAGGCGGAUGCUUAAGUCAGUGGUGAAAGCCUGCGGCUUAACCGUAGGAUUGCCAUUGAUACUGAGUAUCUUGAGUGCGGUAGAGGUGGGCAGAAUUCAUGGUGUAGCGGUGAAAUGCAUAGAUACCAUGAGGAAUACCGAUAGGGAAGCCAGCUCACUGGACCGUAACUGACGCUAAGGUACGAAAGCGUGGGGAGCGAACAGGAUUAGAUACCCUGGUAGUCCACGCUGUAAACGAUGCUCACUCGAUGUAUGCGAUACACAGUAUGCGUCCAAGCGAAAGCGUUAAGUGAGCCACCUGGGGAGUACGCCCGCAAGGGUGAAACUCAAAGGAAUUGACGG
rnacentral:rRNA from 1 species